CAGCCUAACACAUGCAAGUCGAACGGUAGCACAGAGAGCUUGCUCUCGGGUGACGAGUGGCGGACGGGUGAGUAAUGUCUGGGAAACUGCCCGAUGGAGGGGGAUAACUACUGGAAACGGUAGCUAGUACCGCAUAACGUCUUCGGACCAAAGUGGGGGACCUUCGGGCCUCACACCAUCGGAUGUGCCCAGAUGGGAUUAGCUAGUAGGUGGGGUAAUGGCUCACCUAGGCGACGAUCCCUAGCUGGUCUGAGAGGAUGACCAGCCACACUGGAACUGAGACACGGUCCAGACUCCUACGGGAGGCAGCAGUGGGGAAUAUUGCACAAUGGGCGCAAGCCUGAUGCAGCCAUGCCGCGUGUAUGAAGAAGGCCUUCGGGUUGUAAAGUACUUUCAGCGGGGAGGAAGGCGAUGUGGUUAAUAACCGCAUCGAUUGACGUUACCCGCAGAAGAAGCACCGGCUAACUCCGUGCCAGCAGCCGCGGUAAUACGGAGGGUGCAAGCGUUAAUCGGAAUUACUGGGCGUAAAGCGCACGCAGGCGGUCUGUCCAAGUCGGAUGUGAAAUUCCCCCG
rnacentral:rRNA from 1 species